AAUCGAACUCGGAUAUAGCUGGUUCUCCCCGAAAUAGGUUUAGGCCUAGCCUUGAAUAAUUGCUACCUGGAGGUAGAGCACUGAAUGUGGAAUGGCUUCGUCUAGAGGUACUGACUGCAAUCAAUCUCCGAAUGCCAGGCAAGUAGAUUCAGGAGUCAGUGUAUGAGGUGAUAACGUCCAUACGCGAAAGGAAAUCAAUCCAGAUCAUCAACUAAGGUCCCAAAAUAUAUGUUAAGUGGGAAAGGAUGUGGAGACGCACGAACAGCUAGGAGGUUGGCUUAGAAGCAGCCAUCCUUUAAAGAGUGCGUAAUAGCUCACUAGUCGAGUGACACUGCGCCGAAGAUGUACCGGGGCUAAGUACAAUACCGAAACUGCGGAUUCACAUUUAUAUGUGAGUGGUAGGGGAGCGUUCCAAGUUGAGUUGAAGGUAGACCGUGAGGACUGCUGGAUUACUUGGAAGUGAGAAUGCCGGUGUGAGUAGCGCAAGAUGGGUGAGAAUCCCAUCCACCGUUUGACUAAGGGUUCCUGGGGCAGGUUCGUCCGCCCAGGGUUAGUCGGGUCCUAAGACGAGGCCGAGAGGCGUAGCCGAUGGACAACAGGUUGAUAUUCCUGUACUACCUAUAAGACUGAUGGAGUGACGGAGAAGGUUAGGAAAAGCCAGUUAUUGGAUUCUGGUCUAAGCACAAAGGCUUAUAAAUUAGGAAAUCUGUUUAUAAUUAAGCUGAAGUGUGAUGGUGAAGUCGCUUGCGACGAAAUUUUCUGACACCAUGCUUCCAAGAAAAGCUUCUAGGGUUAAUCUUAUAGGUACCCGUACUCAGAACCGACACAGGUGGUCAAGGAGAGUAUCCUAAGGUGAGCGAGAGAACUAUGGUUAAGGAACUCGGCAAAAUGACCCCGUAACUUCGGGAGAAGGGGUGGUCACUAGAUGACCGACACUAAAGACGCCCAGGCAACUGUUUACCAAAAACACAGGUCUCUGCUAAGUCGUAAGACGAUGUAUAGGGGCUGACACCUGCCCAGUGCUGGAAGGUUAAGAGGAGUGCUUAGAUAGACGCAAGUCGAUUAUUCGAAGGUACGAAUUGAAGCCCCAGUGAACGGCGGCCGUAACUAUAACGGUCCUAAGGUAGCGAAAUUCCUUGUCAGGUAAGUUCUGACCCGCACGAAAGGUGUAAUGAUCUGGGCACUGUCUCAACCAUAGACUCGGUGAAAUCUUAAUACCUGUGAAAAUGCAGGUUACCCGCAACAGGACGGAAAGACCCCAUGGAGCUUUACUGUAGCUUGAUAUUGAAGUUCGGUAUAUUAUGUAGAGAAUAGGUGGGAGACUAUGAAGUUAGGACGCUAGUUCUAAUGGAGUCACCUUUGGAAUACCACCCUUAGUGUAUUGAAUUUCUAACCUCGAUUCAUUAUCUGGAUCAGGGACAGUGUCUGGUGGGCAGUUUGACUGGGGCGGUCGCCUCCCAAAAAGUAACGGAGGCGCCCAAAGGUUCCCUCAGAUUGGUCGGAAAUCAAUCGAAGAGUGUAUUGGUAUAAGGGAGCUUAACUGUGAGACUUACAAGUCGAGCAGAUGCGAAAGCAGGGCAAAGUGAUCAGGCGGUAGAGAAUGGAAUUGCCGUCGCUUAACGGAUAAAAGUUACCCUGGGGAUAACAGGCUGAUACCACCCAAUAGUUCAUAUAGACGGUGGUGAUUGGCACCUCGAUGUCGGCUCGUCACAUCCUGGAGGUGGAUUCGCUUCCAAGGGUUGGGCUGUUCGCCCAUUAAAGUGGCACGCGAGCUGGGUUCAGAACGU
rnacentral:rRNA from 1 species